rnacentral:lncRNA from 1 species
CAUUGUUGUAUGCUGUUUAACCCGGGUUACCCUAUGCCGGCGAUGCUGCCUGUGAGCAGUUGAUAAGCAGUGCCUAACCUGCGGUGGCACGUCGUCGCAUGCGGUUUGCACAGGCGCUGCUUUGGCUUGUGGGGGCUGUCGGUGGAGGCGCUGCUGCCCGAGGUGACGGUGCCGGUGCCUGAGGUCCUGCGCAGCCGCAGCGAGUGGUGCACCACCUACCUGGAUGAGGACAUGCGGGUGGGGCGCGGCAGCGGCGGCGCGCUGUUCCUGUUCCGGCGCGGCGGCGCGGACGACGUCACCGAGGCGGCGGGCGCCAUGGGCGGCAGCCUGGGUGCGGGCUCCGGCAUGGGCAUGGGCUUGGGCGUGGGCUUGGGCGCGGUGGCUGCGGAUGCCCGCGCGCCGGUGAUGCGGCCGCUGUGAGGCGCGUGGGAGGAGGGGCGGGUGGCAGGAGGGAAGUGGAGCCUGGCGGCCGGCGCCGCGGGUGUGUAGCGGUGUGCCCGUGUGUGUGCGGGUGCGUGUACGUGUACGUGUACGUGUACGUGUACGUGUACGUGUACGUGUACGUGUACGUGUACGUGUGUGUGUGUGUGUGUGUGUGUGUGUACAUGUGUGUGUGUCUACAUGUGUGUGUACAUGUGUGUGUACAUGUGUGUGUACAUGUGUGUACCUGUGUGUACAUGUGUGUACAUGUGUGUGUGUGUGUUGAGGUGGGCAUGGUGUGGCUGUGUGGGCGAGGAGGAGCACAGCGCUUCCAUCCGGCACUUGUGAGACAUGUCACAAUUUAUCAUCAUUUUAUCGCGGCAGGCAGUCCUAUGCAUGAGCAAUUCAUGGCGGUGCGCAUGGCGUGGAAUGGAGUGAAUUGAUGUUGUCAGGGGGCUGGUUGCAAUGGCCGAUACCGGUACCUGUGGUCCUGUGCGUCUCUGCGUGUCCUGUACAGUGUAUUCCCCCAAAUGGAUAGGGAGGGCAUGGUUGCAGGCCUGGCCAGAUCAGGUGUCUGGGUUUUAUCCCUCGCCUGCGUGUGCGUGCUUGUAUCUAACUGUACCACUUNNNNNNNNNNNNNNNNNNNNNNNNNNNNNNNNNNNNNNNNNNNNNNNNNNNNNNNNNNNNNNNNNNNNNNNNNNNNNNNNNNNNNNNNNNNNNNNNNNNNACGCGGACACUGGCCUCAGCAGUUCUGGACGACGCCCCGCGCGGUUUCCCCUCCACGCCCCUCCCGCACAGACCACCGCUGACCGCGUCGGGGAGUGUUACGCCGCGCUAGAGCGCAAGGCGCAACUAUACGAGAAACUAGGUAGGCGCUGCGACUGCUGCAGCCGUGCGCCGUGAACAAUGCCACACGGCACCACUGCCAUCCCUACCCCGCCAUUCCACCACGGCCACGUUGCACACCCCUCGCCGUCGAUGUAUGCGGACUCGCACAGGCUGUCCAGCUCGCCAUCUUCCACACGGCUACCAUAUGCCUGUACAAACUCCCUCGACCCUUUGCCAGCCCUAUCUACCCAUUGAUCGCUGUGCUUCUGCUCGACCGCUGUUCCGCUGCUGUUGCUGCUGCUGCUGCUACUGCUGCUGCUGCCGCAGCUCGCGGCGAGUUGGACGACGAGGGCGAGCAGUACGAGGUGGACUUCCUGCGCAAGGGCGGGGCGGCGGAGGAGGAGGCGGGUGGAGGCGAGGGCCGGCGCGGCGGCGACCUGGUGGACACCAUGCUGCAGGCAGUGUCGGGGACAGGUGAGGCGGGGGCGGAUGGGGGCAAGGAGUCCACGGGCCUUGUAGUCGGACUGCCCGAGCCGCCACCCUGACGGAGAGGGUCAACAAGUGUGUGCUGCGGCUGACCUGUCGGCAGAGCGUGUUGCUGCUGUUCGGCGCUCGGCCCGCUGGAUCUCACCACCCUCAGCCCCCGCCGCUGCUCGGCUGCAACCAUUGAGGCAGGACAGCAAGGGUUUAGGCAGGGUAGUAUGGACUGAGGCAGGGUAAUGCGGACUGGGCAAGGCAACCACCCGACACAUAGCGUGUCCCGGUCUAUUGUAUUCUUCUCUUGUGCGGAGACCGCACGUCUGAACCGCUCCUACUCCGCGCUGCACUUGCGCUCCUGACCACCUCCUGGCCACCUGUCGGCAUGCGGCCCCGCACACAGGCGGCAUGAUGACUGCGGACAUGGCGCGGGAACGGGAGCGGCGCGACUGGGAGCGGGACCAGCAGCGCAUCAUGGCGGACGAGGAGGCGGAGGAGCGGAGGCGGAAGCAGAAAGAGGUGCGUCCAACACAAGCGGAGGUCGGGGACCAAUGGCACCAUUGUUGUAUGCUGUUUAACCCGGGUUACCCUAUGCCGGCGAUGCUGCCUGUGAGCAGUUGAUAAGCAGUGCCUAACCUGCGGUGGCACGUCGUCGCAUGCGGUUUGCACAGGCGCUGCUUUGGCUUGUGGGGGCUGUCGGUGGAGGCGCUGCUGCCCGAGGUGACGGUGCCGGUGCCUGAGGUCCUGCGCAGCCGCAGCGAGUGGUGCACCACCUACCUGGAUGAGGACAUGCGGGUGGGGCGCGGCAGCGGCGGCGCGCUGUUCCUGUUCCGGCGCGGCGGCGCGGACGACGUCACCGAGGCGGCGGGCGCCAUGGGCGGCAGCCUGGGUGCGGGCUCCGGCAUGGGCAUGGGCUUGGGCGUGGG